AUUUUUUGGAUCCCACUAAAGAAUUACACCAUAUCAAUUUUGUCAUCCCAAGUUCUAAUAUAGCCUAAGUCUAUAUUACAUGGGAUUUACUCCUUGUUGAAGGCCAUUCAGUGAGUUGUAGUAAUUGACACCUUUGCUCAUUGGUCUUUGGUAGAAAGUGUGCGACAUGAAUAGACAAUUUAUGCUAAAAAAAAAACCAAGAUAAAAAAAAAGGCAGUACAGAAAUAACAACUUAAAAAAAAUAAUGCAGGACAAAAAUGUUCAU
rnacentral:lncRNA from 1 species